CCCAAAUGUUUUAGGCAAAAUAACAAAAUCAAAACCCUCCAUUCUCUCGGAAAACAUACAUAUCCAAAAGGCCAAAAUCUAUCCCAAACUUUUCGAUCUCAAAAGGCAAAGAGAAAGCUGCCAGUUUCUUUCCGUCUCUUCCAUCGUCUUUGUCAUCGUAGUCCGUCAGCCACCACUAUUAACACCACAAACAACCACCUCCGAUCAUCUCUUCAAAUCGUCCAGAAAUUCUAAUUUCUUGACUAAUCUCGACUAACAUAGCGGGUAUCUUCAAUUUCUCACAGAGCCUAAUAAUAGUGGCAGAUCCAAUUCCUCGCUGAAAUUGCCGCUGGUUGCUGUGGGAGAAACCAUCGAUGCAUAAGAAAGAGGAUGCUAUUCAACUAAUAAAUACCAGCUUAUAUGCUCGUUUACCUGGAGAAGCUUCCUCUGUCCAACAAGAUGCUAUUCGACUAAUAAAUUGUCUAUCUACUGGUUGUAACAAUCAAGAUAAUGGUCAAAUCUAGAGGCGGGAGUGAUAAACAAAAAGGGAAAGCAGAGUCCUCCCGAGGAAGGGGACGAGGAAGAAUCAAGUUACCCCUAGCAGUACAACAAUCCAUUGGGAAGAUGCGAAAGGCCAUCAAAGCUGUGGACAGAGCCGCAUCCCAUUCCGAAGGAAGUGAAUAUGUCCCUUCCCGGGACGUUUCGGAAGGAGACUCAGUGCCAACCCACGUUCCUACAGACUUUCCAGAGAAAUUUCAGUUGCGAGACGAACCUACACCCUCUGCUUCUUCUGAGUCGUCUGAUGGCUCAGAGGAGAGUAGUGAGGCUUCAGCAUCAGCUUCUCCACCUGCCACACCUUUGGCCUCACUAAUGAACCCUAUUGAUGUAGAUGCUGAGAUCCCUGAUGACGGGAGAGGUGGUGACACCCAGGCAAGGGGGUUGGAGAGAACAAGGAACCCCGUGGUAUAGCAAGAACGGUUCGUUAGUGAGAAAUCCUAUCACAAAUUCCGGGAAUGGUGGCCGCAGAGGUCUCUCACCCUCGAGAAGCAAUUCAUAGAAAGGGACUUUCUACCCCACAACCCCAAUGUGAAGGGCAAUUUGAUGACAAAGGGGGGUGGAAAUUCUUUACAAGCAAGCUGCUGGAGGCCAAUGAAUAUUUAGUAGCGAAAAGUCACUCAAACUACCAUGAGGUAUAGAGUGAGUAAUUAUGUGCAAAGGUUAUA